rnacentral:rRNA from 1 species
CAUACGGGUGGCAGCAGUGGGGAAUAUUGCACAAUGGGGGAAACCCUGAUGCAGCGACGCCGCGUGAGUGAAGAAGUAUUUCGGUAUGUAAAGCUCUAUCAGCCGGGAAGAAAAUGACGGUACCUGACUAAGAAGCCCCGGCUAACUACGUGCCAGCGGCCUAGGUAAUACGUAGGGGGCAAGCGUUAUCCGGAUUUACUGGGUGUAAAGGGAGCGUAGACGGUGAUGCAAGUCAGAAGUGAAAGCCCGGGGCUAAACUCCGGGACUGCUUUUGAUACUGUGUGACUGGAGUGCAGGAGUGGUAGGCGGAAUUCCUGGUGUAGCGGUGAAAUGCGUAGAUAUCAGGAGGAACACCAGUGGCGAAGGCGGCUUACGGGACUGUGACUGACGUUGAGGGUCGAAAGCGUGGGGAGCAAACAGGAUUAGAUACCCGGGUAGUC